rnacentral:lncRNA from 1 species
GCACAUUCUCAUAGGUCCUACACACUUUUUCAAUUGCUACUCCAUCAAAAAAGUCAAUAGCCAUCAUUCCCCAUGACCACUAGCAUUGAAAGAGUAGAGCGAAGAUGCCACCUGAAUGACCGUCUCGGAUCGAUGUACGUUCGUCAUUGCCUCAGAUCAACAUGCAUUAACUAUUGUCUUGGAUUAGUGAAUGCUAGAAAUUGCCUCUGAUCGACAGAUGAGAGCAAUUGCCUCUGGACAGCCUUAGCUCGAAAGAAAAAUUGGUUGGAAAAAAAUAUCAGUUGCUAUUGAAGUUCCUUUGUUUGGAACAUUCCUAUUUUCUAUGAUCAGAAUUAAGUUUACUAUAAGAUCUAAUGUCCUAAAUCAACCUGUGUACUGCAUAAUAGUGUACAAUCACGAGUGAAAGGUGGAA